GCGGGAUCGGUUCCCAUCAUCCAAUACCUCCCACCAGACUCCACUUCCAUCAUUGGAGGUCACAUUUCAACUAAGAUUUGGAGGGGACCGUAUCCUAACUAUAUUAACUUCCAAUUUUCAUCGAAAGCCCACCUGUCUAAGAAGAGCUCCUAGACAUUCCCUUUCCCCUUCAACUUGGAGGAAUUGGGAAUGACAAAGAGAAAUUAAUCAAAAGAAGAAUUAAUCUCUCCAAUCAGCCUUGGCAUUUUCUUUCUAUCUUUGAUAUGUUGUUUUUUACAGUGUCUUGGUUUUCAGAAUAAGCUGUUUGUAACUACUUCCUCCACUAUAUUGUGAGCCUCUGGAGGGCAAGCUUUGAUAGAUUGACUUUGCCUCUUUUACUGCGUGCAUAGUGCCAUCUUGUGGCCAUAAAGCAUAUAACACUCAUAGUUAUGCCACAGUGCUUCUGUUCCAUCUUAUUUCUGUAGUCCAGAGGAUCUCUUAAGUGUAGAAACACAUGGAUUAUUACUAGCCAAGGCCAUCACUGGCCAAGCCCAUCUAAAAGCCAGAGGCAGCAAGCAGUGCCCGUUGAAACAUCCAUAAAAGGUGAUAUUUGGUUAGCAACGUCCUACUGUAGACAUUUUGAUGUGGUGGUGAUUGGAAUAUGGUCUGCAGAGAUCAACCAGAAUUAGCUCCAUGUGCCACUGGGAGUGGGAACUGAAGUCACGCAGGAAUAAACCAGUCUUCAUGCUUUAGGAUGUUCUGAUGUGCCAUUGUCGUGAAAUCUUCAUUCAUGAGACAUUCCAGUUUACCGGCAGUGUCGACUAGAAUAUGCUACAGCCCCCAAAAUACGUUUUUAGUAUAAGGAUUAUUUUGAGCUGAUUAUUUUGAGAAAUAGCAGACGCAGGAGAAACUCUGAAGACAGAACGUAAGUUUACCUUUUGUAAAGGGAUUUACAUUUAUAAGGGAAAUGUCCAUUUGUAAGGCUGUCUCCCUCCGUACCGGAAACACGGGAUGACUAUAAGUGACAAAGAGAUUAAUUUAAAUCUGCAUGACAAAUCUUACUCAAGCUUACCAGACUUUUCCUGGUCACCUUCCCAUAACUUGUUUCCCCUGCCCAGAAGCCCCUAAUCCCCUUUCCUAUGUUUUAGCCCAAGUUGGUAUAUUAUUAAAUUAAACUGGGCCUGAGGCUGCCUCCAUACCUUGAGUCCCCACAUGACGAACUGCAGCCUAGCUUGGUACAUAAAUGAACUGAAAGCCUAAUUUAGGAGUAUAUUUUUGUAAUACAUAGCUGAGCGUCAAUCAAUCACAGCAGCUGAGUUUCAGCCAGUCACUGGCUGCCAACUGAUCAGCCCACCUCCAAAUAAGGCAAAGGCUCAGCUGUAACCAAUCAAGCAGCUUCCCUACCUCACUUCCAUUUUCUGUCUAUGAAUACGGCCUGCUCAUUAUUGUAGAAUAGAGUUCUCCGAACCUUUUCUAGUUCCAGGGCAGCCCAAUUUUGUGAACCUUUCUUUGCUUAAGUAAACUGUUAGAUUUAAUUUGUUUAAAGCUCUUCUUUUAACAUUUUACACCCAAGUUCUAACCACCCCUUUGAGCUGCUCAUUCCAGUUACUCCAAAGCAUGCAUGAGAUACACAUGUUAACAGACUAAUGUUUGUUUUUCUCUUGUUAAUCUGUGUUUUGUUACAGAGCCCCAGCUGGGGACCUAGAAGAAAAU
rnacentral:lncRNA from 1 species